GCACUAAGCAACUCAGUGAGACUUUGUUUCUAAAUAAAAUAUGAAAAAGGGCUGGGGAUAUUGCUCAGUGGUUAAGUGCCACUGGGUUCAAUACCUGGUACAAAAAAAAAAAGUUACUAAAAUAAACAUUUUAUAAUAAAAGUGUCAAUCUAUCAUGAAGGAACAUAUAACAACUAUAAGCAUGUAGACACCUAACAACAGAAAUGCAAAAUACCUGAAGCAAAAAUCAACUCAAUUGAAAGAAAUCUACAAUGAAACAGGAAGAGUUGCAGGCUUUAGUAUCCUACUUUCCACAAAGCAUAGAGCAACAAGGCAAAGAAAACAAUAUUUGAACAACACUAUAAAUCACUUACACCUAUAUGAUCUAUCUAUUGAACACAACACUGCGGAAUAAGAUUCUUAUAAAGCACACAUUGCACAUUCUCUAGGAUAGGCCAUUAUGGUAGGCUAUAAAGCAAGCAUCAGAUUUGGAAAAGUUUUCCAAGUAUUCCUGCUUCCUGUUCUAAGCUUUGAAAUUCAUGAAUAUGUGGAAAUUUAAAAACAUACUCCUAAAUAAUGGUUCAAAGAAGAAUCUCAAGAGAAAUUAGAAAAUGAGAUGAAUGAAAACAUAACAUACCAAAAGGUGAGAUCCUCCUGCCUCAGCCUCCUGAGUCACUGGAAUUAUAGGCAUGUGCCACUGUACCUGGCUUUUCUGAGACAUUUCCAUCAGCACUGAACAUAACAGUUAUUCCUCCUGUGUUAAUACAAUAGCUAGUGCAAACAACCAAACAAAAAUCAAGAUCUUGUCACAUCCUCUCCAGCUCAGCCUUUUGUUCUACUCAGGCCUUAAGAUGAUUGGAUAAGCCUACUCACAUUUUAGAGAGCAAUCUUCUUCACUCAGAUUCCUCUGGUUUUGUAAACCUAAUCUAAAACACUCUCACAGAAACAUUAAUGUUUGAUUAAAUAUCUGGUAUCUAUGGCUCAGCCAAGUUGACACAUAAAAUUAACCACAACUUGUAUGAUGACAAGAAACUAGAUGCAGGGAGACCAGAUGGGUGGGAAUUGGAUAAUUGAUAAGAAAGGAAGGUGAAAGCUGGCCAUAUUUUGAAUAGUUUGAAGACUAAGAUGACAAAUUACAGUUGGAAUGAAUGUAGGAUAUAAAAGAAAGGAAUCAAAGAUGACUCAAAUUUUGGGUCUUAAACUGGAAGAAAAAUGCCACCAUUUCCUGAUAAGGAGGAACAAGUAGAGGUGAGAGCUUGGCAACAAAAUUUGCUGAAUGUUUUUUUUAUUCUGUUUUGUAUAUCAUACAAACCAUGUUUAAAAACUGGAGUGGCUAUUCUAAUAUCAGAUAAAUAUACAUUAAGCCAAAAAGUUACUAGAAAUAAAUGUUUUAUGAUAAAAAUUUCAAUCUAUCAAGAAAGUAUAACAGUUAUACUUGAAGCCUGUUGUAUAUGGGGAAAUGAGCUGGGUGUCCCCAAGGGAAUGGUGAAAGGAUGGGUGACAGUGAGGAAAAGAGACUUCAUUCUGGCUGAGGUAACCUGGACAGAAAAAAGGUUGAGGAAACCAGUCGUACUGGCAUGGUAGAUUUUGCCUCAGGAGCACUGGGUCUCACAGCAUUCAGCCAUGGCCCAGAAGAGAGACUAGGUUUUGGUCUGCCAAACACCUAACAGUGCCACACACUGUUCUCAGUGCUGGGGAGCGAGGAAUGUGACUAGCGUCCUUAACUUAAAACCAUAAGUGGCUUCUGACCACCUUUAGAACCAACUCCAACAUCUUCACCAGGCCUCUGACUUCACCUCUAUCCAUACAUUGUGUCAUUCCCCCCACCUCUCUUUUUUUGCACUUAUAUCACAUUCACAUUUCUUCAACUCCUUGGAACACCUGUUCUUUUUCUGAUUGAGGGGCUUGCAUAGCUUUUUUCUCAACCUAAAAUGAAUUUUUCCCCCCUUGCUUUACCUAAGACUUUCAGAUUUAUCCUCAGGGAAAAUAAGGAGAAGAAAGAGAAGCCUUAGUCUACCCCCAAACACCCAGUCACCUCCAGCCCACCCCUGUGCUCUCUUUCUCUGUCAGCAUGCAUGUACAGUUCAGGUCUUCUGUGAUGCUCUCCAGAUUUCUCUUUUAUAAUAUAUUCAUACUUACCUAUUCUUGUUCUAGGUCUGUUUCCUCAUUGAAUAACAAGCUCUAUGGGAGCAAGAACUGUGCUUUUCUCAUUUACUAAGAUAUUGUAUGGCAAAGUACUCAAAAUGCACCAGACACUAACAUACAUUGAUUGAAUUGAAAAAAAAUUUUUUUAUGCUACUAGGGAUUGAACCCAAGGCUUCUUGCCUUCUAAGCAAGCACUCUACCACUGAGCUAUACCCCCAGCACUUUUUAAAAUUAUUUCAUUUUGAGGCAGUCUUGCUAAAUUGCCCAACCUGGCCCGGAACUUCUUGGCAGGCUCACUGGAUAAAUGAAUGAAUGGAUGCUAUUUUUCUUUUUUCAUUUUUGGUUUCUGAGGAUUGAAACCAUGGGCACUUUACCACUGAGCCAUAUCCCCAGCCCUUUGAAUUUUUUAUUUUGAGACAGGGUCUUGCUAAAUUGCUGUGGCUGACCUUGAACUUGCAAUCUUCCUGUUUCGACCUCCCAAGAACUUGGAUGAUAGGUGUAUACCAAUGCACCCAGCAAAUGCCAUAUUUUGAAUGUGUCCCCUAAUGUUCAUGUAUUGGAAACUCAACCUCCAAAUUCAUAUGUUAACCGUAUUUGGAGGUGGGAUCCUAAGGAAGUAAGUAGGAUUAGGUGAGGUCCUGAAUAUGGUUUCCCCAUUAUAGCAUUAGUGGAUUUAUAAGAUGAGGAACAGAUUCCUGAAAUGCACGUUUUCUCUGUUGCCACCACAUUUCCCUUCAUGGUGAUGCAGCAAGAAGUCCCUCACCAGAGACAGAGCAGAUGCCUGUGCCACAUGCUUGGACUUCCUACCCUCUAACACUGUGAGCCAAACAAACUCCUAUUCUUUCUUUAUAAAUUAUUUGGACUCAGCUAUUUUGUUAUAGCAAGAGAAAAUGGACUACAUCAAUGAUAAUCAGACCCCAAGAACCAAGCCUCUUAAACUCAGUUAUUAAUGUUCAGACCUCUACUCAAGGCUCAUGGCCUAUUUUUUUAACCUCAAAAAUUUAAGGUUUAAUAUGAGUAAAAUGCACAUAUGUUUACAAUUUGGUAUUUACACCCAAUAUUUCAAGAAAUCUCCAACUACAGAAAUCUACAGGCCUGAUAGGUAUAAAAUUGUUUUUCUUUCAUUGUUCAAACUCUGUCCCCUGAGGAGUGAUUUGCCACUGUACUUACUGCCAACAUUAAGUUCAUCAUUGCUCCUUUUUUUUUAAAAUCAGGGAUUAAACCCAGGGGCAUUUAACCACUGAGCCACAUCCCCAGCCCUUUUUAUAUUUUAUUUAAAGCGAGAUCUCACUAAGUCACAAUCUAUGACAUAUGAGUCCCCUCUGGUUCAUGGGGGAUAUUUUCCCAAGAUUCUCUCAUGAAUGCCUGAAACUGUGCUUAAUACUGAGCCCCAUUGAGCUCUGCAGUACUGUAGUAAUGGAUGUAACCAAAACAACUACUGACCGACUACUACUAGUAGUAUAUACUGUAUGGAUGUCCUGACAGGCAGGACAGUAUGAGACAUCAUUCUAUUCAAGAUGACAUACAGUGUCAUGAAACUUAUGACUUGCUUAUUUCUGGAAUUUCCCCUUUAAUAUUUUUGGACUGUGGUUGAGCUUGAGUAACUGAAACCAUGUAUAAGGAGAAACCAUGUUGGGGCCCUACAGUGUCUUUGUUUUUGAAACCCUAUAAGACUAAAACAGAAUGGUACUGCUAUGUUAUAUGGUACAAGUAUGCUAAAUUUUGUAAGAAAUUGCUGAAUUUUUUUUUCUGAUAGUACUCCUAAAAGUACUAUCAAAUCACAUUGAGGGCUAGGACUUCAACACAUAAAUUAUAAUGAUGGCUGGAUGAGGGGGAAUGACAAACAUUCAGUCCAUAGUAUACUCCUGGGUAUUUACUCAAAGAGUUAUGAAAGCUUGUAUUCACACAAAAACAUAUGGAACUGUUAUAGCAGCCCUUACUCAUUCAUCCAAAACCGGAAUCAAGCACACUGUCUUCAACUGGCAAGUGGAUAAACAGUGGCACAGUCAUAUAAUGGAAUACUACUUACAGUAACAAAGAACAGAUCUACUGAUACAUGCACCAGCUUGGAUCAAUCUCAAAGGCAGCAUGCGAAGUUAAAAGAAGACUGACUCAAAGGCUACAUAUCUAUUGUACGCAUCUACAUCUACAUUACAUUUUAUAAAAGAGUCAAAACUAUUUGGAUGAAAAACUGAUCAGUGGUUGCUAAGGGAUAUUUGAAGAGAAGGGGUUUAGUACACAGCACUAGGAAACUUUCAGGAUGAUGAAAAUGUUCAACAUCUUGAUUGUGAUGGUUGUUACAUGACUGUAUUUGUAAAAAUAAAUAAAACUAUACCCCUAAAAAGAUGAAUUUUUUUGCCUGUAAAUUAUACCUCAUG
rnacentral:lncRNA from 1 species